CACGCGGAGCACAGGUGGGGAGAAGCGGCUGACGGUGGCGUGGCCCCGCGUACCUGGGUGUGGACGCCCCGCCGCCCCGCAGGGGAAAGCUCCUGGAGUCUGGGGUCUGCUGCCCCGAGCUCUGGGUGUCCAGGACAAUCAUGCUGGCUGUUAGUGAAGAAUGGCCUGGAGCACUGGGUCUCCGCCCCAGCUGCCUGGGAGAAACUGUGUUGAAGGAGCCAUACCCCCUGGCCUCCCCUCCAGACUCCAGACAACCCCAGUCAGCUGGCUGGGAGGGAGGCAGAAGAGAAACAGGGGUGCACCUGGGGCUCCUGCAGGGGUCCAGCCAGGAGAUGGGGGCAACUUGGACAGGGACGAUCCUGGGAAGGGCAGGAGGAGGAGUGAGACCUGGCCUGCCCUCUCCCUAGAGGCUCAUCAGCUCCCUGGAGACAGACACGCCCUGGUUCCUUUCCCUAUGCCUGGAGCCUGGGUACCAGCUAUUGAAAACUGCUUUUCUCCUUGUUCAUUCAAACAUAUUCACACAUAAAGGUUGUCAUUCCUUUUUGUCACUAUUUGACAAAAAUUGGAUCAUACCGUAUACAAUUCUCUGCUAUUUGUUUUGCUCACCUAACAAUAAAUACACUGUGAAAAAUA
ensembl:lncRNA LINC01413 long intergenic non-protein coding RNA 1413